rfam:Myotis lucifugus cont2.26189, whole genome shotgun sequence.
CCGAGCACAUGGGCCCUCGGGCCGGGCAGGCGCGGGGCGGACCGGACCCGGAGGAACAGCUCCGGGGCCGCGAACCAGGACGGGCCCGGCUCCCCCUGGGCUCCCCCGAGUGGAUUUCCGCGCGGCAAGGAUGUUGGCGGCCCCGGUGCCACGGCUUGGAUCCACCUUCCA